rnacentral:misc_RNA from 1 species
GAUGAAGAACGUAGCGAAAUGCGAUAAGUAAUGUGAAUUGCAGAAUUCAGUGAAUCAUCGAAUCUUUGAACGCACAUUGCGCCCCCUGGUAUUCCGGGGGGCAUGCCUGUUCGAGCGUCAUUUCACCACUCAAGCCUCGCUUGGUAUUGGGCAACGCGGUCCGCCGCGUGCCUCAAAUCGACCGGCUGGGUCUUCUGUCCCCUAAGCGUUGUGGAAACUUUUGCUAAAGGGUGUUCGGGAGGCUACGCCGUAAAACAACCCCAUUUCUAAGGUUGACCUCGGAUCAGGUAGGGAUACCCGCUGAACUUAAGCAUAUCAAUAAGCGGAGGA